UGGAUAAGGAGGUCUUUCUGUCAUGUCCUGAUCUGGGUUGUUAUGAGCUGUCGAGAGAACGUCCCGGACAUUCGAUCUGGCUUUUAGAUCCUGGGUUCUUUCCGACCGAACUUCAGAAUCUCAGAAUCUUUUGGAAAUUCCAAAGGAAGGGAUCCAGGAUCUGAAAGUGAGAUGAAAUGUCUAAAUGUACUGCAACUCUGCCCACUUUCCAGAGGUACUGUCGUAUGAGUGAGAUCCCCCG